rfam:Dictyocaulus viviparus strain HannoverDv2000 D_viviparus-1.0_Cont128.4, whole genome shotgun sequence.
GCCUCGGUAGUGUAAUGGAUCAGCACGGCAGACCGGAUGUCUGUAAGUACGAGUUCGAGUCCCACCUGAGGCU